UUGAUCAUGGCUCAGGACGAACGCUGGCGGCGUGCUUAACACAUGCAAGUCGAGCGGUAAGGCCUUUCGGGGUACACGAGCGGCGAACGGGUGAGUAACACGUGGGUGAUCUGCCCUGCACUUCGGGAUAAGCCUGGGAAACUGGGUCUAAUACCGGAUAUGACCUCCUAUCGCAUGGUGGGUGGUGGAAAGAUUUAUCGGUGCAGGAUGGGCCCGCGGCCUAUCAGCUUGUUGGUGGGGUAAUGGCCUACCAAGGCGACGACGGGUAGCCGACCUGAGAGGGUGACCGGCCACACUGGGACUGAGACACGGCCCAGACUCCUACGGGAGGCAGCAGUGGGGAAUAUUGCACAAUGGGCGAAAGCCUGAUGCAGCGACGCCGCGUGAGGGAUGACGGCCUUCGGGUUGUAAACCUCUUU
rnacentral:rRNA from 1 species